rnacentral:rRNA from 1 species
ACACAUGCAAGUCGAACGGUAACAGGAAGCAGCUUGCUGCUUCGCUGACGAGUGGCGGACGGGUGAGUAAUGUCUGGGAAACUGCCUGAUGGAGGGGGAUAACUACUGGAAACGGUAGCUAAUACCGCAUAACGUCGCAAGACCAAAGAGGGGGACCUUCGGGCCUCUUGCCAUCGGAUGUGCCCAGAUGGGAUUAGCUAGUAGGUGGGGUAACGGCUCACCUAGGCGACGAUCCCUAGCUGGUCUGAGAGGAUGACCAGCCACACUGGAACUGAGACACGGUCCAGACUCCUACGGGAGGCAGCAGUGGGGAAUAUUGCACAAUGGGCGCAAGCCUGAUGCAGCCAUGCCGCGUGUAUGAAGAAGGCCUUCGGGUUGUAAAGUACUUUCAGCGGGGAGGAAGGCGAUAAGGUUAAUAACCUUGUCGAUUGACGUUACCCGCAGAAGAAGCACCGGCUAACUCCGUGCCAGCAGCCGCGGUAAUACGGAGGGUGCAAGCGUUAAUCGGAAUUACUGGGCGUAAAGCGCACGCAGGCGGUCUGUCAAGUCGGAUGUGAAAUCCCCGGGCUCAACCUGGGAACUGCAUUCGAAACUGGCAGGCUAGAGUCUUGUAGAGGGGGGUAGAAUUCCAGGUGUAGCGGUGAAAUGCGUAGAGAUCUGGAGGAAUACCGGUGGCGAAGGCGGCCCCCUGGACAAAGACUGACGCUUCAGGUGCGAAA